rnacentral:rRNA from 1 species
UACGGAGGAUGCGAGCGUUAUCCGGAUUUAUUGGGUUUAAAGGGUGCGUAGGCGGGCUGUUAAGUCAGCGGUCAAAUGUCGGGGCUCAACCCCGGCCUGCCGUCGGAACUGGGUGCCUUGAGUGGGCGAGAAGUAUGCGGAAUGCGUGGUGUAGCGGUGAAAUGCAUAGAUAUCGCGCAGAACCCCGAUUGCGAAGGCAGCCUGCCGGCCCCACACUGACGCUGAGGCACGAAAGCGUGGGGAGCAAACAGG